rnacentral:rRNA from 1 species
UGGGGAAUUUUGGACAAUGGGGGCAACCCUGAUCCAGCCAUGCCGCGUGAGUGAAGAAGGCCUUCGGGUUGUAAAGCUCUUUCAGGUGGAAAGAAAUCUCCCGGGUGAAUACCCUGGGAGGAUGACGGUACCAUCAGAAGAAGCACCGGCUAACUACGUGCCAGCAGCCGCGGUAAUACGUAGGGUGCGAGCGUUAAUCGGAAUUACUGGGCGUAAAGCGUGCGCAGGCGGUUGUGUAAGACAGAUGUGAAAUCCCCGGGCUCAACCUGGGAACUGCGUUUGUGACUGCACAACUAGAGUACGGCAGAGGGAGGUGGAAUUCCGCGUGUAGCAGUGAAAUGCGUAGAGAUGCGGAGGAACACCGAUGGCGAAGGCAGCCUCCUGGGCCAGUACUGACGCUCAUGCACGAAAGCGUGGGGAGCAAACA